CCCAGGCCUUGUACACACCGCCCGUCACAUCAUGAAAGCCGUUUGUACCCGAAGUCAUCCCUGAAAAGGUGCCGAAGGUAUGGAUGGUGAUUGGGAUG
rnacentral:rRNA from 1 species